CUGAAUAAAUCAACAUUUCGAUAUCAACAUCAUUCUCCGAUGGAAAUUGAUCUCCUAAAUCUUCUACGACGUAUAUUUUGUCUGGCGUAAGCUCAACGUCCACGUUUGUGUUGAAAUUGAGAUGUCUUACGAAGCUCAAGUUCUCCCAAAUUGCAGAACCGAGCUGAAACCUUACGUUGGUCAGAUUUGGACACAAAUUCUCAAAUGGUGUCAAAACCUGGCAUACUAUUGUAUGCAGCAGGCAAGGAGAAAAGUGAGAUGUCGACGAAGAGGGUAGUGCUACCAAACGUAGACGUCGUUCUAGCAGAUGUCAUUGCAAUGCCAAACUUACGUUGAAGUGUUCAACGGAUUCCGGCAGUCCUCAAUAUGUUGUCAGCAACUUUGUAGACCAACACAAUCACGAGAUGGUCGAUAAAAAGCAUGUCAGAUACAUGAAAUCCAACUGUAACCUUGGGGAUAUUCAUUAUAAAUUCAUGCAGGACUACGCAAAGGCCAACAUUGGACCUACAAUGACUUUCAAUUUAUUGAAGGAGUUCCUGGAUGGCUAUGAUUCUGUGGGUUGCACCGUUACUGGCAUACGGAAUGGCAAUCACGACAAAAUGCAAGAAAUGAAAGGCAUUGAUGUCCAAAUCAUUUUAAAUCAAAUGGAGGACAAAAAGAACACAUGUGAUAGUUUCCAUUAAAAUUCCAGCAAGUUAGUGAUGGAAAGUUACUUAGUCUUUUUUGGUGUGACGUUAUGUCGUGAAAGAACUACAAGAUGUUCGGUCACAUUGUAUCCUUGGAUACUACGUACUCAACAAACAGGUAAUCACACGUGU